rnacentral:rRNA from 1 species
UACGUAGGGGGCUAGCGUUGUCCGGAAUCAUUGGGCGUAAAGCGCGUGUAGGCGGUUCGGUAAGUCCGCUGUGAAAGUCGGGGGCUCAACCCUCGAAUGCCGGUGGAUACUGUCGGACUAGAGUACGGAAGAGGUGAGUGGAACUCCUGGUGUAGCGGUGGAAUGCGCAGAUAUCAGGAAGAACACCAACGGCGAAGGCAGCUCGCUGGGACGGUACUGACGCUGAGACGCGAAAGCGUGGGGAGCGAACAGG